GCUGUAUUCAUAGCAUAUGCAAGUUCCCAGGCUAGGGGUUGAAUUGGAGCUAUGGUUGCCGGCCUAUGCCACAGGCACAGCAAUGCCAGAUCUGAGCUGCAUCUGCGACCUACACCACAGCUCACAGCAAUGACAGUUCCCUGAUCCACUGAGCAAGGCCAGGGAUCCAACCUGCAUCCUCAUGGAUUCUAGUCCGAUUCAUUUCCGCUGUGUCACAACAGGAACUCCAGUGUGGUAUGUCUCUAAAAUGGAAUAUUAUUCAGCCAUAAAAAGAAUGAAAUAAUGCCAGCUGCAGCAACAAGGAUAAGUCAGAAAGAGCAAGACAAAUUAUCAUAUGAUAUCACGCGUAAGUACAAUUGAAAAUAUGGCACAAAUCAACAUAUCUACAAAACAGAAACAGACUCACAGACACAGAAAACAGACCUGAGGUUGCCAAGGGGAGGGAAAUGGAGAAAGGGAAGGACUGGGAGUUUGGGGUUAGCAAAUUAUUAUAUAUGAUGCAUAAACUGCAAGGUCCUGCUGUGUAGCACAGAGAACAAUAAUCAAUAUCCUGUGAUAAUCCAUAAUGGAAAACAACAUGAAAAAGAACAUAUAUAUGUGUGUGUAUAUAUACAUAUAUAUAUAUAUUGUGUGUGUAUAUACAUAUAUUGAGUCAACUUGCUAGCCACGGAUGCACUGAAACUAAAUGAAAACUGAACAAGUGAACUAACUGAAAGACCUAUGAGAAACAUGCCACCAACUACACUUAAACCUGAGCAGAGGACUAUUCCUGGUUUCAUAGAUUAAGACACCAUCUAAAUGCAAAAACAGGACAGUCAGAAUUCAAGUACAGGUAUAAUUUGCAUAUACUAUGUGAAAAUUAUAGGGGUAGGAGUGAAUUCUGAACCCGUUUGGGGCUUCAGAUGUGGAGGAAGGUAUAGCCUUGAUAUAUCCUUAAUUUAAGAGAGGAAAAAAAGGGGUUUCCUUAUGGCUCAGCAGAUUAAGGAUAUGGUGUUAUCACUGCUGUGGCUCUGGUUUCAGCUGUGGCUCAGGUUCAAUCCCUGGCCCCAGAACUUCUGUGUGCCAAGGGCAUGGCUAAAAAAAAAAAAAAUUUUUUUUAAAUAAAAUGUGGUAAGAAGUUUCCUGGUGGGGAGUUCCUGUCGUGGCGCAGGGGAAACGAAUCUGACUAGGAAACAUGAGGUUUCAGGUUCAACCCAGGCCUCGCUCAGUGGGUUAAGGAUCCGGCAUUGCUGUGAGCUGUGGUGUAGGUUGCAGAUGCAGCUUGGAUCCUGAGUUGCUCUUGUGGCAACACCGGAUCCUUAACCCACUGAGUGAGGCCAGGGAUCAAGCCCACAUCCUCAUGGAUAUGAGUGGGUUUGUUAACCGCUGAGCCACGAUGGGCACUCCUUUAGUCCCUUUUCCUACUACACACACACGGUCUCCUAACUAUGUCUUCCCUGUUAAAUGUGAACUUCUUGAGGACAGGGACUGUCCUCCUUCGUUUGGAAAGGUCUGAUGAGUGAAUGAACCUGGCAUCUGCAAAGGGUUAGGGUAGGAAAGGUGGUCAGUAGAAAAGACGUAUAUGCCACUGCAGUUAACAACCUAUCAGGUGUUUAAUUCUACUGCCCUUAAUUACGCAAGAAAAUUUACUUCUCUCCAAGCUAAAAAAAAAUUUGCUAUUGUAAAUCUAAGAAAAUUAAAAGGCAAUGAUUUAGUACAUUUUUUUUUCCUAUCCUAGUUUUCAGCAAAGGAAAACUACCAAAAUGCCAUGGAGACUAUAUUGACCUUAUACAUGUAAUUAAACUUAAGUUUUUCAAAACUAAAUUGAAAGAAUCCUCCUUCCUUUGAAACAUAAAAUAUUUUGACUUUUAAUUAUGUGAAAAUGGCCAGAACUAUUUUAACCAAUGUCAUUUAUCACAAAACGUAUAAAACCUGAGUAAAGCAAAAUAGGAAUAUAGAAGCAAGCUUGUGUUAAGGGUGACUAGUCAAAAAUAAAUAAAUACAUAAAAAGGAAACACUAUAAAUGCUAAAUAGAGGAAGAGAAAAAAUAAUUUAAACAGCAUUUAUAAGGAUCACAUUCACCAUAACUCAUUAUAAUGAUUUAUAAUGAUAGUUUGGAUUAUUUCUUGCUUUUUAAAGAUGCUUAUUCAAAACAUACUAUUUUCCAUUACUUAAAGAUUUACCUUAUUUAGUGUUGAAACACAUUCUGUCUUUUUUUUUUAGGGUCGCACCCGUGGGAAAGGGGGGUUCCCAGGCUAGGGGUCUAAUUGGAGCUGCAGCUGCCGGCCUACACCACAGCCACAGCAAUGUCAGAUCCGAGCCUCGCCUGUGACCUACACCACAGCUCACAGGAGGUGAGAUCCUUAACCCACUGAUCGAGGCCAGGGAUCAAACUUGUGUCCUCAUGCAUGCUAGUCAGAUUUGUUUCCACUGAGCCACGACGGGAACUCUGAAAUACAUUUUUGAUAAACAACUUCUAUGCAAACUUGAAAUUAAGAAGAUAUCCUGGAGGCAGAAGCACUACACUUAAGAGCAAUAUUUAAGUCUAAGGGCACAGGAAAUGCUCAAAAUGCUAUUACUGGAGUUCCAGUUGUGGCUCAGAGGUAGAACUUGACUAGUAUCCAUGAGGACAUGGGUUCCAUCCCUGGCCUCACUCAGUGGGUUAAAUAAGAUCCUGCAUUGCAGUGAGCUGUGCUGUAGGUUGCAGAUACGGCCUGGAUCUGGCUGUGGCAUAAGCUGGCAGCUGCAGCUCCGAUUCGACCCCUACCCUGGAAAGUUCCAUAUGCCACAGGUGCAGCCCUAAAAAGGAAAAACAAAAAAAGCUAUUACUUAAAUUGAAUGCUAAAGCUAAACCAACUCCUCAGUGUAAAAUGAGCAUCAAAAACUGCAAGCGGGAGGACAAUACAAAAUUUUAACAUAGAAGUUAAAAACACAGAUUUUAAAAACUGGGUUUAAAUCCUGGCUCUGCCAGUUACUUCCCCUCACUGAGCUUCACUUUCCUCAUGUGUAAAAUAGGAAUAGCAAACCUAACUCUCAAGAUUGUUCUAAGUGCCAGGUACACAAUUAUCUAAUAAAUAGCAGCCAUCAUUUCCUGUAAGCAUGAACUUGUUCCAUCCAGAAUACCAUUGCAAUCUUGAACACAUUUGAAUACAAAAGUAACACAAUUAUUUAUUGGAACAGCAUGAUUAAGUCACUCCUUUUAAAAACAUAAUAUCUUAGAGUACUGGUUCUAAUACUAUUUAAAAAGGGUGUCUUAAAGAGCUUGGUGCUUAUUCUUUAACAGGCAAUACCAAAGUAUCUCCCUAUUUGUAUAUUAUUUCCAACUUUAUGAUAAUGUUUUCAGUUACAAUUUAGGCCAGAGAAAGUAGCAACAGUAGCUAUUUUAAAUCCACCAUUCAAGUUAGAUCAACUUCUAUCACUCAAAUCAACUGGAAAGUCUGAAAGUUUGCACUAGGAAAGAUAACUUAACCCAGUAAGGAAAACAAGUAAAAUAGGAAUUAUAGGAACACAAAAACUUCAAUUAUGUGCCUGCUAUUUAGGUUCUAAAGGUAUCUUGGUCACAGUGAACCAACCAGAGGGCUUUAAAUGCAAAAAUGAAAUGUCAAGUUGGAAGCUAGACAAAACAAAACAAAACAAAAAACAAAAAAAACCCCACUAAAAUCUCUUUUCAACACCAAACGAGGAUAACUCAAGAAAUUGGAUUUUUUUCUUCCACUCUGUCACCAACUUUUUUUUCCAGGUGAGUCUGCUGCCCAAAUGCUUUUUUUUUUUCUUUUCUUUUCUUCUAAGAGCAACCAAAUUGUUUUAAGACCAAAACAAUAUUCCUGAAAUGUGAGGUAUGUAAAACUAACAUUCUGAUAGUCAAGGACCAACAGCAUUUCAGAGAUGGAAAUUACCACACCUUUGAGAUGAUCUGAUCCAACGCUCCUAACCUUAUAGAUGAGAAAACAACUAAAAACCGUAGAUCCAGUGCCACUUUAUAACAAACCUGCACAUCAAAAUAUGGAGAAACAAUCACGAUCCAGGUGAGGAAGCAGAACUUUAAAAUAGAAACCCACAUUUGAUUAUUGACACCUUAAGCUUUAUACAACUUAAAGAGCACAAAAUCGUUUUCUCAAGGCAAAUCAGAGAGACGUUUAGACAAUUUACUACACUAAUUAGCUCAAAUUGAUCAUUUUUACCCUGAAGAAAUCAUAUUAUUCUGGCUAAUGCGGGAAGAAAACACCUAGCUAACUUUCUAGAAUUCACCAAAUUUCCCAUUAGAUACUUAAAGUGCACUUCAAACCUGAGUUUUGAGAAAUGAAAUAUAGCUAACAGUUUUUUUCACUAAUCACUUAGGGUGGUAAACAUCUGGAACGAUAUUUUUCAAUCAGUCACAGCCCACUAUUGGGUCCUGAAAUACACUGAUGUUUAAUAACUAGCAUUUUAAAAAGAAGAGAAAAAAAGACAGGAGGAGGGAAGGAGGAAGGAAAGAAGAAAGGAAGGGAGGGAAGGAGGGAGGAAGGAAAGGAGGUCCCAUUGUGGUUCAGCAUUAACGACUCCGACUAGAAUCCAUGAGGAUGCAGGUUCGAUACCUGGCCUGGCUCAGUGGGUUAAAGAUCUGACGUUGCGGUGAGCUGUGGUGUAGGUCAGAGGCGAGGCUCGGAUCGGGCAUUGCUGAGGUGUAGGCUGACAGCUGCAGCUCUGCUUUGACCCCUAGCCUGGGAAUGUCCAUAUGCCACAUGUGCAGAUCUAAAAAGGAGGGAGAAAGGAAGGAAAGAAGGCAGGCAGGCAGGAAGAAAAAGCAAAUAGAAAAUGUCAGUAGU
rnacentral:lncRNA from 1 species